CACCUCUAGCAUUACUAGUAUUAGAGGCACUGCCUGCCCAGUGACACACGUUUAACGGCCGCGGUACCCUGACCGUGCAAAGGUAGCAUAAUCACUUGUUCUUUAAAUGGGGACUCGCAUGAAAGGCACCACGAGGGUUUAACUGUCUCUUACUUUUAACCAGUGAAAUUGACCUGCCCGCGAAGAGGCGGGCAUAAAAUAAUAAGACGAGAAGACCCUAUGGAGCUUUAAUCUAUUAAUGCAAUCAAAAACUACACAAACCCACGGACCUUUAAACUACCGACACCUGCAUUAAAAAUUUUGGUUGGGGCGACCUCGGAGCACAACAAAACCUCCGAAUAACACAUGCUAAGACCACACAAGUCAAAGCGAACUAAUACUUACAAUUGAUCCAAUAAUUUGAUCAACGGAACAAGUUACCCUAGGGAUAACAGCGCAAUUCUAUUCUAGAGUCCAUAUCGACAAUAGAGCUUACGACCUCGAUGUUGGAUCAGGACAUCCUAAUGGUGCAGCAGCUAUCAAGGGUUCGUUUGUUCAACGAUUAAAGUCCU
rnacentral:rRNA from 1 species